GACAGAGGCCUCGAGCGUUUAGGCGGAAUCACUGGGCUUAAAGCGUGUGUAGGCGGGCCCGUAAGUGUCUUGUGAAAUCCCACGGCUCAACCGUGGAACUGCUGGGCAUACUGCGGGUCUUGGGCCAACUAGGGGCAGCCGGAACAAGCGGUGGAGCGGUGAAAUGCGCAGAUAUUGGGAGGAACACCAGUGGCGAAGGCGGCUCACUGGACCGGAACUGACGCUGAGGCGCGAAAGCGUGGGGAGCGAACGAG
rnacentral:rRNA from 1 species